UAAAAUAGAAAAAGUACUAUUUUAUGUAACUGUUUAGCAUAUAUUAUUGGGCUUCUGUAAUACGGUUGUUUUGACAAUACUCAACUUCAUUCAAAGUACCUGAAGAUUUUUUUGAAGUAAUACAAAAUUAUUUUAUUUUCCUCAUAGAGACAAUACAAAAUCUAAAGGAUUUGUCCAAAUUCCAUGAAAUAAAUAGGUAGAAAUUAAGAUCACUGUUAGGCAUUUCAGAUUUUUUGUGAAAUUAUGUAAUUUUAGAUUUGGGGUUAAGCUCCUAAGACCAUAAAGCUUUGUUAAUUGUAUCUCCUGUUGUUUAGUUUUAAAGUCAUAAAUGUUCCUCCCAUGAAAAAUGCAUUUCACAAUAGGGUCCUUAUUAUUUUCUCCUCCUUAGUUAUGAACUCAUUGCCAUAACACUUUUAAAAUUCAAGUUUUGAUUUAAUUCUGGUAGUAGACUACUUAUAGUGCAAGUGGGUGUAGUUUGGAGAGACUAUAUGACUUACUUACAGACUUGUUCAGUGAUAAAGUUAUGCCUUCUAAGUGAUUGCAAUGAUAUCCUGAUUUAAGUGCAAAGAAAAUGAGAAGUGUGGCUCUAUGAAGAUUGUGAUAGUAUGGGGUUUUUUGUUGAUCCUCAUUCAGUUUCUUGGAUAGAAAAGGGUAAAAUUUGUCUAGGUUUUGAGGAGUUUGGCUUAUUGGAAAGAUAGGACUUCACUUAUUCAAAACUCUGAAAAUACCCAGAUAGUUUUGGAGGUCUACCUGUGGUUAAGAUAUUAUCUAUCCCAGAGCAGCAGCAAGCCUGUAAUAAAUACCAUCUGCUCCAGUGUCCUGGUUUAAUGUACAGAGGAAAUUGGACCAUGAGCUGAGUUGCCAAGAGAUGGACGCAUGUUCUGUUUGGCUAAAUCUGUGCAAUGUGUUUUCCAGCCAUGGACUGAGGGAAAGAGUUUAUAGUGGCCUUACAUCAAAACCAUGCAGCUCUUUCUGGCAGAACCUACUUACUACAAGCCAGGUUAAUAAUAAAAGGGUUGCUGUAUUAUUAUCAGAGCAUCAAAAAUGGAAGAAUAGAAUGUCAUUUACGCAAUCUUCUUUCCUAAUCUAACAAAAGUCUUCUUGGCUAGACUUGGCACUCAAAUCUCAUAGAACAGGUUAUUUGUUAUGUUUAUUUUGUUAUGUUUGUGUAGCCAGGUUACUGACUAUUUGACCCUGUCUAUUUCUGAUAUGACUUUACAUAAAUCUAGCAGAAGAGUUUGAAUGACAAUGCACAGCUUUUUUGACUGUAGAAAAAUGUAAUUUGUGGCAGAAACACUGGGGGCUUGACCAAGGUGUGUUUUAUGAGGAAACGUGCUAAAUAGCAGUGGAAGUUAUUUUGUGUACCUGUGAGUUGAAGAAAUACUUGAGAUAAUUUCUAAAAGUAAUUCCACAUGAGCAGUAAACACUUAUUAAAUUUUGCUCUUAUAUCUGGUAGAAUUUCAAAGGUAAAUGGAAAAAGUGAUUACUGCAAAGGUGUGGUGGCAGAGAGGGCAGUAAAAAACCCUGAGUGCUCCUCUCCAUGUUUUCAUCUGAAGAUUUAAAUCCAAAAGGGUUUAGACUUAAUUCUAAGGGUUGUUGACCCUUAUACAUUUAGUCAGGCUUAGUGUUUUGUGUUGCAAGCUCCCUUUAAAAAAAGAGCAGAUAAUAAAAUCAUAGAAUCAUUUAGGUUAAAAAAAUACUCCAAAAUGCUGAUAGAUACGUACAACAGUAUGGGUGGAGCAGAUUUAUAAUAGGUAACCCACAAAUUUUAAUCAUAGUUAGUCAUUUUAUGACCCAUUACAAGACUCUUAAGAUUGAUUAUGGGCUUCUUGAAAUCAUCCAGACGGGCAAGCUGCUCAUUGCUCUUUUUCUACGGGAAUGUUGAUGACUAAAUGUGUUACUGGCUUUGGAACCAAAUUGCACUGGGGCCUGGUGUUAUCACUUAUAUUUCAGUGCUUUUGUUUCAGACUGUGGUUUGGCUACUAUUGCUAAAUAUAUGCAGCAGAGCUGUUUGCAAUUUAAGAGUUGAACCUCCUGGUGUUAAGAGGCCAGCAGAAGGUAGCAUUUAAGCUGUGCCUGAGGGCUCUGCUGAGGUCAAAGGCACAGAUGUGUGCCUGGUUUGUUUUUGUGCACAGAAAAUCAUGCAAGGACAGUCUGUGGGCAAAUGGAAGAUUUGCAUAUAAAUGUACAUGUUGGUAGCAGUAGGAAGUCACUCUGGUGGCUCUGGAUUUUAGCCUAGUGAUUUCCAUAUGCUUUGGGUUCUGUUGCUCAGCUUCUGAGCAGGUGGAACAUGUUUUCUGUGUAUGGCCACGACAAAAUGGUAUUGGUAUGGGGGAUGGAGUCAAACAUGAAUAUGUUAUUAGAGCUAGCCAGCUUCAACUUCAGUUUUACUGAAGAAUUGUAUUUCUCUUGACAGAUUGUAUCCAGAAAACUUUCCAGUACCUGUGGGAUAGAAUUUGUGCUUUAGAAAGAUCAUCCAAAUGGUCAGAUGGUUGGAGCACUAAGACCCAGUAAGCUCCAAAUUAGGAAAAACCAAGUAGGGAAUUUCUAGUUGCUACUCUGACGCGUGCACUGAGUGCUUUCCUUUAUUGCACAAUCCACAUGAAUUAUUUAAAUGUUUAUAUUUAUUUAAAGUUAAAUUAUUUAAAUUGCAUAUUUUGAUUUUGAUAACUAACUAUUGAAACUUGUUCCUUUUUGUAAAUAUUUUUCCUCUCAUACAAGUAUGAAAGUGUCAACUACUUGUGUGUCAGUAGUCUUGAGAAGCAUUCACCAAUUAUAGAAUUUUUCUUGAUAGUAAUUUCAAUUUCCCAAAUUUUAGGAAGAUAGAAGAAAAAAAAAUGCACUUAUGCACAGAAUAAAAUCAAGUUUUCUUCCUGCAGUUUCUCCAAAGUUAGCAUAUCAGGCUUUAGUUACUACUUUAUAAUAAUUACUGUUUGUUUCCAGUAGAAGCUGAGUAAAUGGUUACUGAACUUUGUCCUGAGAAACAAUAAAUGGGGACAAUUUCAAAUCAAAGACUGGGGAUGUUUGAUUCUGUAAUUCAACUUGUCAUUGAGCUGUCUGUUAACAGCUUCACAUCUUUCAGUGCAAUGAGGCUCAGAUUUUACUAUUGUCUAGGUAACAACUGUUAAAAUAUUGAUGGCAGUAGUAUUUACUGUAAGUAUGCUGUAAAUUAAUACCUGUUCUAUUGUUACUACUUGUAAAGAUGAGCUACAGUAGGAAUUGAUUUGUCCAUUGUUUUAAUAAAGCUCCCUAUUUUCUUGAUUUGGAAUGAAAUCCAGCUGUUUUGGAUUCUUCCAUAGAAUAAAAAUGUUUUCUAUUCUGGUAAUAAGUGUUUCUCGGGAAGAAAACGUUUGUUAUUGUUUUAGGAUAUAUCUGGUCUGCCUGUUGUUCAUAUUGAUAGACAAUGCCUCUUCAGAUUAUAGCCUUGCCUGAAGUCUGCUUUUUAAAAAAUAUUCUACCUUUGCUGUAUUACUUCAAUUGUUGUCCUAUUAAAUUAAAUAACUAAUGCAACAAAUUCCAUCCUUCCAUCAUGCUUGUGCAAGCUUUGUAAAGUUACUUCACUCUCUGUGUUACAUAGAACUGUUCAUGUAAUCUUAGUUGACUUACAUUAUGACAUUGUAGCUCUAUCUUUAUCAAAAUUUCCUAAAAUAUUGUUUUCAGCUUUAUGUCAAUGCUCCCUUACUUAUGUGACUGUGCAUGUGAGUUUUCAGGGAUGCUGCUGAGUUCAUCUCAUUCUCAACAGGUCAAGUGGAGUGUAGCGGGCUUACAACAUUUUAGCAGUGUUAUGCAUAUUUAAAUUAAAAUUUGACUUUAUAAACCUUCAUUUUUCCAUUUAACAUAAAUUUUAAUAUAACUUUUUCUUGGAUAAAGUAGUAAUAAAUUAGUAAAAUUUCUGAUUAAAUUAAAAAUUAUUCUUCUGAAUGAGUACUUAAUACUUGCACUGAGGAAAAAGGGUAGGUGAAAAAAAAAGGUCAAAUUUCUUAAAAGACAAUGUAUCUCCAUAAAUUACAUGUAUAUAAACAAAAACUCUGGGAUAAGGGUUUAGGGUACACUUUUAUUCUAAUUUUAGUAGCCAGAUUUAACAUUUCUCACAGGAUGGAAAAGGGUGAAUUUUCUUAUGAUUUUUUCUAUUAUUUCCUGAACCUUACUGUUACUAUUUUUAAGAGUUUACAUAAGGCAUCUUUAUAUAGGAAAGAGAAUUCUGGCAAUAGCAAUGCAUUACUGGAAGCAUAAAAGAUGUCACAAACAACAUUUUCUUUUUUUUUUUCCUAAUGACAGUUAUAGACCUGAUUUAUGUGGUUUGGUGUUUGUCACUCUUUCCUUCUGCCUGAAUGAUGAACACUAAUCCUAGACAAACACCAAGGAUCCCAUGGAUUGCUAGUAUUAGCAGGAGGCUUGUAAGAAUGCUCCACCAAGGACAGUGCUUUACUACAGGUCUUGUCAAUUUGAGUUUUAAAGGAAAUGAAGAUAUUGUGGUUUAAAUUAAGUUGGAAAUAGGAUUUAGAAUUUGACUGAGGACAAAUCUAGUUUAGAUUCAUUUGAAGGCAUAGACUUCACAAGUCAUAUCCUAAUUAUGGAAAUGCUAAAAGAUCAGUUGUAUUUGCAACUGCAAAUUUGUUGCUAUUCAAAGUGGUGACAUGUCUUUUGAAAUCAUCUAUUAGACUCAAGAUACUUGCCUUGAAAUGUGGCUGAAACCAGAUUUUGCAAUUGAAUACUUGGAGUUUUUGCAAAUGUUUCUCCCCUGAUAGUAGGACCAAAAGUGCAGAUAAUUUCUAGAGAUGCAUUGUAAGUGGCAGCAAACAAAGUCCACUAAAAUAAAUAAAAACUGACCACAUGAAUUAAAAUUCUGUAAUAUAAAUGGUGAGCAUGUGCUUUUUAGAUUUUACCUUUCUUUCCUUUUCUGAUUUUCUCUGAUUACCUCAAAGAUUUUUCCUUUUAUCUUUUCUUUUACCUUGGGAAGUGUUAUCCUCUUUGUAUCAGUUUUAUGUAGUAUUUAUAUCGAAGUUGCUGCCAGAUGGACUUUGUCAAAGGUCUGCAAAGUCUUUUGGGCCUUUCAUGUAUGUGAAAGGGACCUGAAUUGAUCCAGUUGUGGAAUUGGUAUUAUGGUGGGUAAGACUGUUGUGAGUUUGAUGUGUAGUGUUGCCCUAGUAUUAGAGAUCAUAAAACUAUUUCAUUCUAGACCUUGGAAAAUUAGUAAUAAUUAGAUAUGAAUUGUUUUGUGUUGACUGCAGUGGCAUGCUUUUGUUGUUCAAUGACACUGGAGCAGUCCCUUUUGACUAUGAAUUAAUGUCUGCCACUCAGUUUGUCCCCAGUUGAACUCAAUGUACAGGCCUCUUAUAUAAUAAAGUGCAAAUAACAAAGAAUGAACAUGUAGUACAAGUAAUUUAUUAUAAAAAUUUAAAAUUGGUGCUGACAUUACCCAUUCUCAACAGUUUUUAAAUACUGUGUGGUGUGCAUUAUACAGAAAUGGUAGUUUAUUUUAAGGUAAGAUUGGUUCUUUCACUGUUUUUCCUGUUACAGUGAUUUUGAUUCAUUCGGAGAAACUGCUUCAGUAGAUUAAUUUCUAAAGGUACUGUAAAAUUCAUUCCGAUGUUAAGGAUAGUAAACUUCUACAGAUGUGACCAUAAUUUUUCUGCCUUGGCAGAUAUUUUAAGACAUCUUUCAUGUCUAUAGCUGUUGAGCAUUUUCCACAUGAUGAGCUUCAACUGGAUGUACAGUGUAUUACCUCAUUGCUAUUCUUAGUGAAUAAACUUUAAAUACUAAACCCAAUUUUAAAUGUAAAAUGAUAUAAAGAAACUGUACUUUCAUAUAUUUUCUUUUUUAGUAAUGCUUUAUGAAUCCAGCGACUUAAAAAUGUUAUUUCAUCAUAAGAACUCUGGAGCAUCUGUUCAAUGUGGCAUAAUAGAAACUCAAACUGGAUGUUCUUUCAUGUUUGACUUUUCUUCUGAACCAUUGGAUGGCUCUACUUCAUUGGCUGCUAACUAGUGCAUACUCCACAUUUUCUUUCUGCAACCACAAGAAGAAACUUCUUAACACACUAACCUUCCUCAUUCAUACUUGGUAACAUCCAUAUCUGACAUAACUUGAAACUCAGCUUUGUGAGUAAUAUAUUUGUGCUGUAAAAGCUGAAGAGUACUAGAGGAAGAAGAGGGUGUGAUUGAGUGAGUGUGGAGAAAAGAAUGUGCUCAGAAACAUGUAAGGCAAUGUGUGGAGCCAACCUGACAGUAGGUAUACAGGGUUGUCCAGGGAAUGGGUGACUCUUCCUGGGUGUGCUGAAGGAGCAAUGAAUUUUUAUUAAGGGCAGAGAGAUACACAGCUGAAUGCUUGCUUUUAAAGAAUGCACUGUUUCCCAGUUCCCUUUCUGCUCUUCCUUUCUUCCCUUUAUGCCUAUUUCUACAGUGAUAAGGUUAUCUUGGCAGCAAGGAAGUUGUGUGAGCAUAACCAUUCCUCAUAGAAGGGCAGUUAUGACUCUUCUGCUAUGUGGAAGGGCUGGUCUGCUCAAAGAUUGCUUCACCUUUUAUUGUAGUUGACUGUAAUCUGACAGACAGCAGUAAUAACAAUAACAACAAAACCACAAAAACAAAAAACCCAAACCAAAAGCCAGGAAGAUGCUAAUUGAUUUAGAUGUCUAGUAUUUCAUUUGCAUUUUGUUUACAUUUCACUUUUUUUGAGGCUUCCAUUGCUCUUCAGUUUCAAACAGCUUUACUGAAUAUCCUGAAUGAGCUUGUAAAAGAUGUGCAAGUGUUUUUCCUUCACACAGGUUCUAAAUCUUGAAACAUAUUCUCUUGAAAUAUAAUAUUAUGUCUGAGUUAUUCCACUGUAUAAAAACAUACAGGAUGAGAUAGGAUAAUCUAUGGAAACGUCUUUCCUGGGAUGGAUGAUCAGAGUUAAUGGUGUCCAUUGCCCUUUAGGAGAUCUUCCAAGACAUUUAAUGGGUGCUGUAAAGGCAUUGCAGAGCAUGGGAGGCUGAAUUCUGACCGAAAAAGGCAGAAGUGAUCAAAUGGUUGUUUUCUUUCUCCUGUGCCUCAUUUUGGUGAGCUGUAUGCCUUAGUAUAAAUCUGUUGUGUUAAUUCUUCCCACCAAGAAUUUUAGCCAAGCUGAUUAUUGAUUGUGUGCGCAGUCCAGAGAUGGGAAGUCUGAUCUACUUUCUGCUCUCAUCUCCUAUUGUAUCUCUUGGUGACUGUCUAUAAUUUGGUGACAAUGCUGUACUUACUCUUUACUGGUGUUAGAUAAAAUAUUUAUCUGAUAGUAUGUGCUAAUUAUAUUUGUGGUAGUAUGUGGAGUAGUAUUUUCAGUAUGCAUUUUUAAGGGAGUAGAAGACUCCUAAGAGAGAUUAAAUGGAUGUAGGUAGUAAUACUGUGGAUUUUGUGUCUUGUCACGCAUAAAAGCCUUCAAUAUUCUUUUCCCCUCCUCACCUCCUACUAAAAAAUAAAUCAGUCCUGUAUUUUCUGUAUUUUUCAUUUUCAUAAUUGAAAACCUGCAGGAUUUGGCCCAUGGUGGUUUUCCUAUAUGUUGCACUGUUUUAUACUACUCAAAUGAUCUCUAUAUCUGUAUUUCUGAACAAUUUUCACUUAGUAAGGUAAAUGUGGAUGUCUUAUAAAAGUUCAAGCAAAAUUAAAUUUUACAUUCUCAACAUUCUCACAUCUGUCUCUGAUGCUAUGUUUUGCUAUAUGGAUAUGGAAGUAGAAACUUGGGAUAACUGAAAUAAAGUCUGAGCCUUUGAUGUAAAAAUAAUUAAUUUCCUGUAAUUAAAAAGAAAUUCUCACAUGGGCAGACAGUUCUAGAAUUUGUCACAUUAGGGUUUCUUACAACAUCCUUUGAAGGAUUUUCCUUUUUACAAGUCCUUCUGGAAACAGCUGGAUCAUUGGCUUAUCUAACAGCAUUAUUUCUAUGACUUUAAUGGCAAUCUUGUGCAGAAAUGAGCAUCAAAAUGACUUAAGUAGUAACUUAUAUGACUCAUCAAGAGUCACGUAAGUAGACUCAGAUUAGCUGCGAUACUGAUUUUAUGAACAAGGAAUAUUUUCAAACGGUAAUCUAGGCCAGACUGGCCUCUGUAAAUACUAGAGAACUAUUUUGCAAGAGUAAAGUAAAUCUAGUAAUUCUUACUUUGUUUUGAAAUAGUAUACAAAAAUUUUAAACUUUCCUUUAAAAUGUCUCCCUCUUCCUGCAGUGUAAACAUUUCAAAUUGCCCUCUUUGUGAAACUGAAAUAGUUGUAAAUUAGCUUGUGGGGUUUUUUUUGUUUGUUUUGUUUUCUUGCUUUUUCUCCUCAGCUCUUUUCAAGAACACAAUGGUUGUUGUUUGAGAACAUGCAAGCAGUGAGUUCUGGACUGAACUGAAACUGAAGUGGAAUGAUAGAAAGAAUUUCUGAGAACUAAAACAACAAGAAUGAGCAUCAAAAAAAAGAAUGGAAAUGAAAGGGAAAGGCAGUUCCCAGCUUGAACUAAAAACCUGACCAUUGUAUGCUGAUGUUAAAUGUAUCAGAAGAUUGUUUGGAAACAGGAAAUUCAGAGGACUGUAUAACAGUGUCAGCAUAGCAGACCUCCUGUGUAUAUUUCAACCUAUUGGUCAGUGGCUGCUUAGUGCCAUCACUGCCUGAUGCUGAAGGUCUGAUGUCAUGUUCCAAGUGACUCAUGCAGUGCAGACUGAGGAAAUAGGAGGGUGAAUUUGGGAAGUGAAGUUGACAGGAAGCUGACACUGUGCUGAUAAAGGAAAGCAAGGCAAACUUUGCAGUCUGUGCCAGGUUCUGUAGCUUCACUGCUGAACUGCCUGCAGUCCACCUAUGUAAUGCAUACCUUGAUGCAAUACAGUCAUGCCUUGCUGGAGAUUGGAAUCCAGCUACAGGUGAUGAAGCAGAAGAGGAGCUGGGGGAUGAUAUUGAUGAAUCUCCUUGGAUGCAGUGUCUGAAUUUUGUGGCAAGUGACAUCGUGCUCAAUGGCCGUGUUCUCCACUGGUUUCUCUUGUCCUGGUUUUUGGGUUUUUUACAUUAGGAAGAACUGAAGGCUUAAUAGCCUUUUGACACUAAAAGAUAUUUAGAUCUGUAGGCUUGCUUUCUCUCAGUUCUAUAAUCAUAAUUGGAACUGAAGAACGAAGUAGAUAAAGGGAAUUGUCCAACAUCAGAAUUACAUUUAAUCAUUCUGGUCUGUGAAUAAGAGUUUAAAGAUGUGAUUAGAGUUUGAAAUUACAGAAAGGCAAAAGAAUAGAAGAUGCAUUUUAGUUGCUUACAAUACAUGGAAUAAGAAGAUGGAAGAUUGUCUCAAAUUUGAUUCCAUUCAUUGCUCAUCAGAUAACAUAGGAGUAUUUGAGUUGAUUUAAAUAACGUUUUUCUUUUUUUUUAAGUGAGCAUUUCUGAAACUAAUGUAUCCAACUGCACAAAUUUUAUGUGCAAAUAUCUUUUCCCGUGUCAGGCUGAUCUCUGUGGAAAAUGUAAACUUAAGA